rnacentral:rRNA from 1 species
AGAAUCAACGCUGGCGGCGUGCCUAACACAUGCAAGUCGAACGAGAAAGUGGGAGCAAUCCCACGAGUAAAGUGGCGCACGGGUGAGUAACACGUGACUAACCUACCCUUGAGUGGGGGAUAGCCUAGGGAAACCUGGGCUAAUACCGCAUAAUACCUACGGGUCAAAGGAGCAAUUCGCUUAAGGAGGGGGUCGCGGCAGAUUAGUUAGUUGGCGGGGUAAUGGCCCACCAAGACAGUGAUCUGUA